CUGGUCUGGAACUCACUCAGGUGAUCCGCCUGCCUCGGCCUGCCAAAGUGCUGGGAUUACAGGCGUGAGCCACUGUACCCGGCAGGAAAACUUAACUUCCAUGUAUUCACUCCUUCAGGAAAUAUUUAUUCAGUGCCUCUUGUGUCCCAGGCUCCGCACUAGGUGCCAGCUUGCAGCAGGAAGCAGGAGAGCACGUUCACUACCCUUCCGUCUUGCCUGCAUUUACAUAGAUAGCAAUGGCGAGCUGGGUCUCUUUUUCUAAGUCCGAGCCUCUUAGCUCCCGGCCGCCAUCUCUCCCGUCAGAGUGGUCCUUGCGGGCUUCACUUCAGGGCACGUUUAUGGUGUCUUCCAGCCCUUGUUGUAUUUAGAGCUAUCUUGGGGAGAAGCUGUGAAGUGCGUCUUUGGGACCCUGGCCUCUCCCUUCUGUACUGGAGUCCCCUUAACUCCCUCUCAGGCACCCAGGGACCUCAGAAUAGUUUUUUUCUCAUGGCUUGUGAAAACCUGCUUUCUCAGAAGGAACUGAUGAUGUCAGUCGUUCAUAUCUCAACGUGGGUGAAUUAAGACGCUGUGUUCCUUCUUCCAGGGGGAGUUAACUGUGAAAGCACUUAACAGUCUCCUUAUUGAGGAACGCCAGACUUUGUUUCCAAUGGAGGAAUUUCUGGCAUCAGAGAGCAGAUAGAGCAGAGGUGCUUUCUUCUGCUGCUCCUCAAGGCUCACAGCUUGCUAUGGAAGCAUCCUUGGAGGACAUCUCCUUCCCUGCCCUUUCCACCAACGUUGGCUAAUCCAAUCUCCACCUUCUCUUACAAGAUUGACAUGUGAGAAAAGCUAGAAUGUGGAGUCCUGUCAUCAGAUGGUGUGACUACAUGGAAUGAGGACUAUAGCUGCUCUCUUAAAAACCUGCAGCCCCCUCUCUCAGCCCAGACAGUUGAGGUAUUUAUGCACCAUCAUAAAAUUAACAGUAUUUUUGCUUUGGAAAGUGAGGGUUUAUAAUUUCCAGUGUAAAUCCUCGCCUUUGGGAGUGUGAAUGAGACAAGUAUAUCAGCAACUGCCAAGACCAAUCAACAGAUGUGCAUGGAACAUUCUCUUCAUCUCCAAAUCAGAAUGAACACAGUCCAUUAAAGUCUGCACUGCAGGCGAAAUUCACAUGACUCACAAUUCCCUUUAGCCAAUGUUACCAAUGUCAGUGUCAAGAAAACUUAAUAGAAAAAAAAAAAAAA